GAUGAACGCUGGCAGAAUGCUUAACACAUGCGAGUCAACUUGAACUUCGGUUUGGGUGGCGGACGGGUGAGUAACGCGUACAGAACUUGCCUCACAGCUAGGGACAACAUUUGGAAACGAAUGCUAAUACCUGAUAUUAUGAUUAUAUGGCAUCGUAUAAUUAUGAAAGCUAUAUGCGCUGUGAGAGAGCUUUGCGUCCCAUUAGCUAGUUGGAGAGGUAACAGCUCACCAAGGCGAUGAUGGGUAGCCGGCCUGAGAGGGUGAUCGGCCACAAGGGGACUGAGACACGGCCCAGACGCCUACGGGAGGCAGCAGUGGGGAAUAUUGUACAAUGGACAGAGAGUGUGAUCGAGCAAUUCUGUGUGCACGAUGAAGUUUUUCGGAAUGUAAAGUGCUUUCAGUUGGGAAGAAAAAAAUGACGGUACCAACAGAAGAAGUGACGGCUAAAUACGUG
rnacentral:rRNA from 1 species